GAUGAACGCUGGCGGCGUGCCUAAUACAUGCAAGUCGAGCGAACAGACGAGGAGCUUGCUCCUCUGACGUUAGCGGCGGACGGGUGAGUAACACGUGGAUAACCUACCUAUAAGACUGGGAUAACUUCGGGAAACCGGAGCUAAUACCGGAUAAUAUAUUGAACCGCAUGGUUCAAUAGUGAAAGACGGUUUUGCUGUCACUUAUAGAUGGAUCCGCGCCGCAUUAGCUAGUUGGUAAGGUAACGGCUUACCAAGGCGACGAUGCGUAGCCGACCUGAGAGGGUGAUCGGCCACACUGGAACUGAGACACGGUCAAGACUCCUACGGGAGGCAGCAGUAGGGAAUCUUCCGCAAUGGGCGAAAGCUUGACGGAGCAACGCCGAGUGAGUGAUGAAGGUCUUCGGAUCGUAAAACUCUGUUAUUAGGGAAGAACAAAUGUGUAAGUAACUAUGCACGUAUUGACGGUACCUAAUCAGAAAGCCACGGCUAACUACGUG
rnacentral:rRNA from 1 species